AUUGAACGCUGGCGGCAGGCCUAACACAUGCAAGUCGAGCGGAUGAAGGGAGCUUGCUCCUGGAUUCAGCGGCGGACGGGUGAGUAAUGCCUAGGAAUCUGCCUGGUAGUGGGGGAUAACGUCCGGAAACGGGCGCUAAUACCGCAUACGUCCUGAGGGAGAAAGUGGGGGAUCUUCGGACCUCACGCUAUCAGAUGAGCCUAGGUCGGAUUAGCUAGUUGGUGGGGUAAAGGCCUACCAAGGCGACGAUCCGUAACUGGUCUGAGAGGAUGAUCAGUCACACUGGAACUGAGACACGGUCCAGACUCCUACGGGAGGCAGCAGUGGGGAAUAUUGGACAAUGGGCGAAAGCCUGAUCCAGCCAUGCCGCGUGUGUGAAGAAGGUCUUCGGAUUGUAAAGCACUUUAAGUUGGGAGGAAGGGCAGUAAGUUAAUACCUUGCUGUUUUGACGUUACCAACAGAAUGAGCACCGGCUAACUUC
rnacentral:rRNA from 1 species